AUUGAACGCUGGCGGCAUGCCUUACACAUGCAAGUCGAACGGUAACAGGUUAAGCUGACGAGUGGCGAACGGGUGAGUAAUAUAUCGGAACGUGCCCAGUCGUGGGGGAUAACGUAGCGAAAGCUACGCUAAUACCGCAUACGAUCUACGGAUGAAAGCGGGGGAUCGCAAGACCUCGCGCGAUUGGAGCGGCCGAUAUCAGAUUAGGUUGUUGGUGAGGGAAAAGCUCACCAAGCCUGCGAUCUGUAGCUGGUCUGAGAGGACGACCAGCCACAAUGGAACUGAGGCACGGUCCAGACUCCUACGGGAGGCAGCAGUGGGGAAUUUUGGACAAUGGACGCAAGUCUGAUCCAGCAAUGCCGCGUGCAGGACGAAGGCCUUCGGGUUGUAAACUGCUUUUGUACGGAACGAAACGGUGAGCUCUAAUACAGUUUGCUAAUGACGGUACCGUAAGAAUAAGCACCGGCUAACUACGUGCCAGCCGCCGCGGUAA
rnacentral:rRNA from 1 species